rnacentral:rRNA from 1 species
UACAGAGGUCUCAAGCGUUGUUCGGAUUCACUGGGCGUACAGGGUGUGUAGGCGGUUUGGUAAGCCUUCUGUUAAAGCUUCGGGCCCAACCCGGAAAGCGCAGAGGGUACUGCCAGGCUAGAGGGCGGGAGAGGGUCGCGGAAUUCCCGGUGUAGAGGUGAAAUUCGUAGAGAUCGGAAGGAACACCAGUGGCGAAGGCGGUCUGCUGGGCCGUUGCUGACGCUGAGGCGCGACAGCGUGGGGAGCAAACAGG